rnacentral:rRNA from 1 species
AUUGAACGCUGGCGGCAUGCCUUACACAUGCAAGUCGAACGGCAGCGGGGACUUCGGUCCGCCGGCGAGUGGCGAACGGGUGAGUAAUGUAUCGGAACGUACCAUUCAGUGGGGGAUAACUAUCCGAAAGGAUAGCUAAUACCGCAUAUUCUGUGAGCAGGAAGGCAGGGGAUCGCAAGACCUUGCGCUGAUUGAGCGGCCGAUAUCAGAUUAGCUAGUUGGUGAGGUAACGGCUCACCAAGGCUACGAUCUGUAGCGGGUCUGGGAGGAUGAUCCGCCAACUGGGGACUGAGACACGGCCCAGACUCCUACGGGAGGCAGCAGUGGGGAAUUUUGGACAAUGGGCGCAAGCCUGAUCCAGCCAUGCCGCGUGAGUGAAGAAGGCCUUCGGGUUGUAAAGCUCUUUCGGCCGGGAAGAAAUCGCAUCAGCUAAUACCUGGUGUGGAUGACGGUACCGGAAUAAGAAGCACCGGCUAACUACGUGCCAGCCGCCGCCGUAACAC